GUGCUCGCUUUGGCAGCACAUAUAUAAAAAUUGGAAUGAUACAGAGGAGAUUAGCAUGGCCUCUUCAAAGGAUGACAUGCAAAUUCAUGAAACGUUCCAUAUUUUU